CAUGACCUGAGCCGAAGUCAGACACAACCAACUGAGCCACCCAGUGACCGCAAAAGAAAGAGAUCGAUUCAAAAUGGUUUCUUCUAAGACUUCCUCCUUGGACUUGACCACUGACAUAAUAUGUGCCUGUGUCUGAGCUCUCCACUCCAAGAAUGAAUGAGCCCCAACAGUUCAUGAAAUUGAAAGGAUUAUAAAGUGCUGUAUUGGAAAAGGAGCAAGAAAUCCGAGGAGCAUCUAUUAGCUGCAACAUGCCAAUAAAGAGGGAGCCGGCACUUUUCUGGCUCGGCCAGCGCCUGCAGCCUCGCGUGCCCACAGAGGUUCGUUAGCACACUGAACUCGCCUCAGUCUUGGAAACAAAUUGCAAGAGAGAGAGAUAAACCGUGAGAAAGUGACCCUUUUAUAGCAAGGUGGUAAAGGUAAAAGGAGAGAAGUAGCUUAGGUAGCUCAUGCUUUUCAAAUGAAUACAAAUUUUCAAUAGGAAGGAAGAUGCAGAUUAUAGUAGAUUCUUAAAAAUCAGGAGUGCAAACUUGUCAAAUCACUCAGUUGCACACCUGAAGCUAAUGUAACAUUGUGUGCUGACUAUACUCAAAUAAAAAAAAAAAUAGAAAAAAAACACAACACAAACUUUAAACACUUUGAUGCUUCUUUAAUUCACAUUUAUCCAAUGACUCUAGUAAAAAUACGAUUCCCAUGUUGAAACGAUAAUGGAGUUAGAAGUAAAACUCAUGACUCAUGUUUUGUGCAUUUACCUUAGUUCAUUAAACAUCAGUGAUUCUUUGGAUUGAACCAUUUUAUCCCUUCUGCUGCAAAUUCUUGAAGUGAAAAGAUUCUUGCAUUUCUUUUUUCUUUUUUUGUUGGGGGGGGGCAGAUACUACAUAGCCAUAGUAGAAAUAGUAAGAGACAAAAUUAAAAAAACUGCAAAUUCAAAUGCAUUAUUAUCUUUAAGGGAAAUUCCAAAGACAAAUUUCUCUUCAUUGUAUUCAGAUUUGUGCAUAAUUUCUUAUUAAAACGUAUUAAAAGAGA